rnacentral:rRNA from 1 species
AUUGAACGCUGGCGGCAUGCCUUACACAUGCAAGUCGAACGGUAACAGGUCUUCGGAUGCUGACGAGUGGCGAACGGGUGAGUAAUACAUCGGAACGUGCCUAGUAGUGGGGGAUAACUACUCGAAAGAGUGGCUAAUACCGCAUGAGAUCUACGGAUGAAAGCAGGGGAUCGCAAGACCUUGUGCUACUAGAGCGGCCGAUGGCAGAUUAGGUAGUUGGUGGGAUAAAAGCGUACCAAGCCGACGAUCUGUAGCUGGUCCGAGAGGACGAUCAGCCACACUGGGACGGAGACCGGGACCGGACUCAUACGGGAGGCGGCAGUGGGGAAGUUUGGGCAAUGGGCGAAAGCCUGAGCCAGCAAGGCGGCGUGCAGGAUGAAGGCGUUCGGGUUGUAAACUGCUUUCGUACGGAACGAAAAGCCCCGGGUUAAUACCCUGGGGUCAUGACGGUACCGUAAGAAUAAGCACCGGCUAACUACGUGCCAGCCGCCGCCGUAA